rnacentral:rRNA from 1 species
UUGAACGCUGGCGGCAUGCCUAACACAUGCAAGUCGAACGGGGCACUUCGGUGCCUAGUGGCGGACGGGUGAGUAAGGCGUAGAAUCUGCCUUGCGGUGGGGGACAACCUGGGGAAACUCAGGCUAAUACCGCAUACGCUCGCGAGAGGAAAGCGGGGGAUCUUCGGACCUCGCGCCGAAGAAAGAACCUUACGUUCCGAUUAGCUAGUUGGUAGGGUAAAAGCCUACCAAGGCGACGAUCGGUAGCUGGUCUGAGAGGAUGAUCAGCCACACUGGGACUGAGACACGGCCCAGACUCCUACGGGAGGCAGCAGUGGGGAAUAUUGGACAAUGGGCGCAAGCCUGAUCCAGCAAUGCCGCGUGGGUGAAGAAGGCCUGCGGGUUGUAAAGCCCUUUAAGUGGGGAGGAAUGGUCGGGUGCAAACAGUGCCUGACUUUGACGUUACCCACAGAAUAAGCACCGGCUAACUCCGUGCCAGCAGCCGCGGUAAUACGGGGGGUGCAAGCGUUAAUCGGAAUUACUGGGCGUAAAGCGUGCGUAGGCGGUUUGGUCAAGUCGGCGUGAAAGCCCUGUGGCUUUACCUGGGAACGGCGGUUGAGACGGCAGACUCGAGUUGGCUAGAGCAUCGUGGAAUCCCGGUGUACGGUGAAAUGCGUAAGAUCGGGAGGAACACCGAUGCGAAGCAGCGGUCUGGGGCCACACUGACGCUAGGCACGAAAGCGUUGGGAGCAACAGGAUUAGAUCCCUGGGUAGUCCCGCGGUAAACGAUGAACACUAGACGUUGGGCGGUACCGUCCGUGUCAAAGCUUACGCGCUAGUUGUUCCGCCUUGGGAGUCGGCGCAGGUUGAACUCAAGGAAUUGACGGGGGCCCACAAGCCGGUUGAGCAUGUUGGUUUAUUCG